UUUGAAGAAAAGUAGUUAUAUUCUUCAUAACUCAAAGAACUUGGCGGUGAAUUAUAUAUUUAGAGGAACCUGUAGUUUAAUUGAUAAACCACGAUAGUUAGUACCAAAAUUUUAUUUAUAUACCUCUAUUUCUAAUAAAAUGUUUUUAUAAAAUUAUUUUUUAUUAAACUUAUUUACUAUAUUAGGUCAAGGUGUAGUUUUAUUUUAGGAUUCUAUGGGUUACUUUAGUUUAAAUUAUAAAUUUAUUAAUAAGUUUUUACAUUUAUUAUAUUUAUAGGAUUUAAAAGUAAACUGGACUAAUUUUUUCUAUUGAAUAAU
rnacentral:rRNA from 1 species